rnacentral:lncRNA from 1 species
AUUGUUGAUUUCUUCUCUUAAGCCGGAGCUCGGCUUCAGGAGUACUUUUCAAAAUAUCAUGUAUUUUGCUAACUCUAUAUAACUCCAUGUGUCAUUUCAUCCAGAAAACUUGUUUCUAAUGCUUUUUUCUCUGGACUCUAAGCUGGUUGAUGCCACCAGGCCUUGGGAAAAAGCCUGCCUUCUGAUAGGAUUGCUAUUGAGUAGCAAAAAUUCUUGGAUUCUGAUAACAUCUUUCAUGCAGAAACUCAAAGCAUCUCCCAAAUUAUAAGCCCAUUCUUUUACACUGUUCUACACUCUCACACUCUAGGAACAACUCAUUUCAAUCUUGGGACAUUGACCAGAAUUCAGGGAAACUAGCAUGAUCCUUCCAGUCUGACGUUUCAUUCCAUCUACUGUCCAAAGCUGUGUCUACAAGGCAUCACCUAUGAGACAAUAAAACAAACCCUCUGAAAUCAGGAAAUUUGCCAGAAGAUGGCGAGCUGGGAAGAAAUAAAACCAGGAUUUGAGCCAGAGACAGGGUUUCUCUAUGUUGCCCAGGCUUGUGUUGAACUCCUGGCCUCAAGUGAUCUUC